AUUGCCCUAGUAACGGCGAGUGAAGCGGCAACAGCUCAAAUUUGAAAUCUGGCUUCGGCCCGAGUUGUAAUUUGUAGAGGAAGCUUUUGGUGAGGCACCUUCUGAGUCCCCUGGAACGGGGCGCCAUAGAGGGUGAGAGCCCCGUAUAGUCGGAUGCCGAUCCAAUGUAAAGCUCCUUCGACGAGUCGAGUAGUUUGGGAAUGCUGCUCAAAAUGGGAGGUAAAUUUCUUCUAAAGCUAAAUACCGGCCAGAGACCGAUAGCGCACAAGUAGAGUGAUCGAAAGAUGAAAAGCACUUUGAAAAGAGGGUUAAAUAGCACGUGAAAUUGUUGAAAGGGAAGCGUUUGUGACCAGACUUGCGCCGUUCCGAUCAUCCGGUGUUCUCACCGGUGCACUCGGGACGGCACAGGCCAGCAUCGGUUUUGGCGGGGGGAUAAAGGUCCUGGGAACGUAGCUCCUCCGGGAGUGUUAUAGCCCAGGGCGUAAUGCCCUCGCCGGGACCGAGGUUCGCGCAUCUGCAAGGAUGCUGGCGUAAUGGUCACCAACGACCCGUCUUGAAACACGGACCAAGGAGUCAAGGUUUUGCGCGAGUGUUUGGGUGUAAAACCCGCACGCGUAAUGAAAGUGAACGUAGGUGAGAGCUUCGGCGCAUCAUCGACCGAUCCUGAUGUAUUCGGAUGGAUUUGAGUAAGAGCGUUAAGCCUUGGACCCGAAAGAUGGUGAACUAUGCUUGGAUAGGGUGAAGCCAGAGGAAACUCUGGUGGAGGCUCGCAGCGGUUCUGACGUGCAAAUCGAUCGUCAAAUCUGAGCAUGGGGGCGAAAGACUAAUCGA
rnacentral:rRNA from 1 species